rnacentral:rRNA from 1 species
UCGGGGUACACGAGCGGCGUACGGGUGAGUAACACGUGGGUGAUCUGCCCUGCACUCUGGGAUAAGCCUGGGAAACUGGGUCUAAUACCGGAUAUGACUGCAUGCCGCAUGGUGUGUGGUGGAAAGCUUUAUGUGGUGCAGGAUGGGCCCGCGGCCUAUCAGCUUGUUGGUGGGGUAAUGGCCUACCAAGGCGACGACGGGUAGCCGACCUGAGAGGGUGACCGGCCACACUGGGACUGAGACACGGCCCAGACUCCUACGGGAGGCAGCAGUGGGGAAUAUUGCACAAUGGGCGGAAGCCUGAUGCAGCGACGCCGCGUGAGGGAUGAAGGCCUUCGGGUUGUAAACCUCUUUCAGCAGGGACGAAGCGCAAGUGACGGUACCUGCAGAAGAAGCACCGGCUAACUACGUGCCAGCAGCCGCGGUAAUACGUAGGGUGCGAGCGUUGUCCGGAAUUACUGGGCGUAAAGAGUUCGUAGGCGGUUUGUCGCGUCGUUUGUGAAAACCCGGGGCUCAACUUCGGGCUUGCAGGCGAUACGGGCAGACUUGAGUGUUUCAGGGGAGACUGGAAUUCCUGGUGUAGCGGUGAAAUGCGCAGAUAUCAGGAGGAACACCGGUGGCGAAGGCGGGUCUCUGGGAAACAACUGACGCUGAGGAACGAAAGCGUGGGUAGCAAACAGGAUUAGAUACCCUGGUAGUCCACGCCGUAAACGGUGGGCGCUAGGUGUGGGUUCCUUCCACGGAAUCUGUGCCGUAGCUAACGCAUUAAGC